ACGGGAGGCAGCAGUGAGGAAUAUUGGUCAAUGGGCGGAAGCCUGAACCAGCCAAGUCGCGUGAAGGAAGACGGUAUUAUGUAUUGUAAACUUCUUUAGCAGUAGAGCAAUAAGCGCCACGCGUGGCGUGAUGAGAGUAUACUGAGAAUAAGCAUCGGCUAACUCCGUGCCAGCAGCCGCGGUAAUACGGAGGAUGCGAGCGUUAUCCGGAUUUAUUGGGUUUAAAGGGUGCGCAGGCGGCUUUUUAAGUCAGUGGUUAAAUCGUGACGCUCAACGUCAUCACGCCAUUGAUACUGGAGAGCUUGAUUGCGGUCGAGGUUUGCGGAAUUCGUUGUGUAGCGGUGAAAUGCAUAGAUAUGACGAAGAACACCGAUUGCGUAGGCAGCAGACCAGGCCGUAAAUGACGCUCAUGCACGAAAGUGCGGGGAUCGAACAGGAUUAGAUACCCUGGUA
rnacentral:rRNA from 1 species